rnacentral:rRNA from 2 species
AUGCAGCUGCUGAAUGUCGCCUGUCUGUGUGCCACCUUUGGUGCGCGGGUUGGCGCCCGUCUACCUAUGCGUCAAUGUUGGGACUAUGCGGAUGGGGGUGCUUGUUAGUGGAUCACCUCCUUAUACCGCAUAACGUCGCAAGACCAAAGAGGGGGACCUUCGGGCCUCUUGCCAUCAGAUGUGCCCAGAUGGGAUUAGCUAGUAGGUGGGGUAAUGGCUCACCUAGGCGACGAUCCCUAGCUGGUCUGAGAGGAUGACCAGCCACACUGGAACUGAGACACGGUCCAGACUCCUACGGGAGGCAGCAGGGGAAUAUUGCACAAUGGGCGCAAGCCUGAUGCAGCCAUGCCGCGUGUAUGAAGAAGGCCUUCGGGUUGUAAAGUACUUUCAGCGGGGAGGAAGGCGUGGUUAAUAACCUGCGAUUGACGUUACCCGCAGAAGAAGCACCGGCUAACUCCGUGCCAGCAGCCGCGGUAAUACGGAGGGUGCAAGCGUUAAUCGGAAUUACUGGGCGUAAAGCGCACGCAGGCGGUCUGUAAGUCGAUGUGAAAUCCCCGGGCUAACCUGGGAACUGCAUUGAAACUGCAGGCUGAGUCUGUAGAGGGGGGUAGAAUUCCAGGUGUAGCGGUGAAAUGCGUAGAGAUCUGGAGGAAUACCGGUGGCGAAGGCGGCCCCCUGGACAAAGACUGACGCUCAGGUGCGAAAGCGUGGGGAGCAACAGGAUUAGAUACCCUGGUAGUCCACGCGUAAACGAUGUCGAACGAUGUCGACUUGGAGGUUGUGCCCUUGAGGCGUGGCUUCCGGAGCUAACGCGUUAAGUCGACCGCCUGGGGAGUACGGCCGCAAGGUUAAAACUCAAAUGAAUUGACGGGGGCCCGCACAAGCGGUGGAGCAUGUGGUUUAAUUCGAUGCAACGCGAAGAACCUUACCUACUCUUGACAUCCAGAGAACUUAGCAGAGAUGCUUUGGUGCCUUCGGGAACUCUGAGACAGGUGCUGCAUGGCUGUCGUCAGCUCGUGUUGUGAAAUGUUGGGUUAAGUCCCGCAACGAGCGCAACCCUUAUCCUUUGUUGCCAGCGGUUAGGCCGGGAACUCAAAGGAGACUGCCAGUGAUAAACUGGAGGAAGGUGGGGAUGACGUCAAGUCAUCAUGGCCCUUACGAGUAGGGCUACACACGUGCUACAAUGGCGCAUACAAAGAGAAGCGACCUCGCGAGAGCAAGCGGACCUCAUAAAGUGCGUCGUAGUCCGGAUCGGAGUCUGCAACUCGACUCCAUGAAGUCGGAAUCGCUAGUAAUCGUGGAUCAGAAUGCCACGGUGAAUA